rnacentral:pre_miRNA from 1 species
ACCCGAUUUACCUUCACAUCUGUUCCAGCUCUUAGAUCUACAAUGUCACAUGAACACAUACUUGGUAACGAAUCUGGCAGUAAGACUUCAUUUAUAUGGGUCCAUUCCGCUCCAAGCUUUCACAUCUGUGACAGAUUUAGCAAUAUAGUGAAAAUCUGACCGUUGGUGAUGCAACUGAAGCAAGUUUUCACGUGACAUUGUAGAUCUACGUGCCGGAUUAGUGGUGAAAGCCUCAAGUU